rnacentral:tRNA from 1 species
GCUUAGCUCAGUUGGUUAGAGUACUUGCCUUACAAGCAAGGUGUCAUAGGUUCGAGUCCUAUAGCGC